CUGAAGUCCUCCAUUUUUCGCAGAACAGGUAGAACAUGGACAACAGCAACUCAGCUUUUGCCCACAGGGCCCUGCCCAUCUGUUUCCGCCCUGACCUGUGGGGGCGUGGAAGGGGUGAGAGGGUGGAGGUUUGG
rnacentral:sRNA from 1 species